AGUGAACGCUGGCGGUAGGCCUAACACAUGCAUGUCGAACGGCAGCACAGUAAGAGCUUGCUCUUACGGGUGGCGAGUGGCGGACGGGUGAGGAAUACAUCGGAAUCUACUUUUUCGUGGGGGAUAACGUAGGGAAACUUACGCUAAUACCGCAUACGACCUACGGGUGAAAGCAGGGGAUCUUCGGACCUUGCGCGAUUGAAUGAGCCGAUGUCGGAUUAGCUAGUUGGCGGGGUAAAGGCCCACCAAGGCGACGAUCCGUAGCUGGUCUGAGAGGAUGAUCAGCCACACUGGAACUGAGAAACGGUCCAGACUCCUACGGGAGGCAGCAGUGGGGAAUAUUGGACAAUGGGCGCAAGCCUGAUCCAGCCAUACCGCGUGGGUGAAGAAGGCCUUCGGGUUGUAAAGCCCUUUUGUUGGGAAAGAAAAGCAGCAGGUUAAUACCCCGCUGUUCUGACGGUACCCAAAGAAUAAGCACCGGCUAACUUCGUG
rnacentral:rRNA from 1 species